rnacentral:rRNA from 1 species
AGUGAACGCUGGCGGUAGGCCUAACACAUGCAAGUCGAACGGCAGCACAGUAAGAGCUUGCUCUUACGGGUGGCGAGUGGCGGACGGGUGAAGAAUAAAACGGAAUCUAGUUUAUCGUGGGGGAUAACGUAGGGAACAUUACGCUAAUACCGCAUACGACCUACGGGAGAAAGCAGGGGAUCUUCGGACCUUGCGCGAUUGAAUUAGCAGAUGACGGAUUGGCUAGUUGGCGGGGUAAAGGCCCACAAAGGCGCCGAUCCGUAGCUGGUCUGAGAGGGUGAUCAGACACACGGGAACUGAGACACGGUACAAACUCCGACGGGAGGCAGCGGUGGGGAAUAUUACACGAUGCGCGCAAGCCUAAUACAGCCAUACCGCGUGGGUGAAGAAGCACCUCGGGUUGUAAAGCCAUUGUGUUUGAAAAGAAGAGCAGCAGAUUAAUACCCCGCUGUUCUGACGGUACCCAAAGAAUAAGCCCCGGCUAACUUCGUG